GGACUACCCGGGUAUCUAAUCCUGUUCGCUCCCCUAGCUUUCGCGCCUCAGCGUCAGAUGCCAGCCAGGACACUGCCUUCGCCUUUGGUAUUCCUCCGGAUAUCUACGCAUUUCACCACUCCACCCGGAAUUCUAUGUCCCUCUCUGGCCCUCAAGUCCAACAGUCUUCGGAGGCCUUCCCCAGUUAAGCCGGGAACUGUCACUCCAAACUUGCUGCACCGCCUGCACGCCCUUUACGCCCAGUAACUCCGGACAACGCUCGCCCCCUACGUAUUACCGCGGCUGCUGGCAC
rnacentral:rRNA from 1 species